CUUUCCCUCUGGCGGCAUGCCUUACACAUGCAAGUCGAACGGUAACAGGUCUUCGGAUGCUGACGAGUGGCGAACGGGUGAGUAGUACAUCGGAACGUGCCCGAUCGUGGGGGAUAACGAGGCGAAAGCUUUGCUAAUACCGCAUACGAUCUACGGAUGAAAGCGGGGGAUCUUCGGACCUCGCGCGGACGGAGCGGCCGAUGGCAGAUUAGGUAGUUGGUGGGAUAAAAGCUUACCAAGCCGACGAUCUGUAGCUGGUCUGAGAGGAUGAUCAGCCACACUGGGACUGAGACACGGCCCAGACUCCUACGGGAGGCAGCAGUGGGGAAUUUUGGACAAUGGGCGAAAGCCUGAUCCAGCCAUGCCGCGUGCAGGAUGAAGGCCUUCGGGUUGUAAACUGCUUUUGUACGGAACGAAAAGCCUCUUUCUAAUAAAGAGGGGUCAUGACGGUACCGUAAGAAUAAGCACCGGCUAACUACGUG
rnacentral:rRNA from 1 species